UUGCUUGCGGUUUUUGGGAAUGGCAUGGUUCAGUCAUUUAUAAAUGCCGUACACUCACUCCAGAAGUUAUGAGAAAACCAAAGCUGGUAGCUGAAAUUGCUAAGCAGCUGCACAAAUUCCAUCAAGUAGAAAUUCCAGGUUCUAAAGAACCUCAACUAUGGAAUGAUAUAUUCAAGUUUUUUGAGAAAGCAUCUGAUCUCAAGUUUGACGAUAAUGAAAAGCGAAGGAAGUACGAGACAAUAUCUUUUAAGGAAAUUCAUGAUGAACUUCUCGAGCUAAAGGUAAAUUCCUCUUUCAAACAUUCUGGAUAUCCUAACUCUUACAUGAUAUAUGCUGU